GAUGAACGCUAGCGGCAGGCCUAAUACAUGCAAGUCGAACGGUAGAUCGGGUAGCAAUACUUGAUUGAGAGUGACGUAAGGGCGCGUAACACGUAUGCAAUCUACCCUCAACAGGAGUAUAGCUCGGGGAAACUCGGAUUAACACUCCAUAACAUUACGAUGUGGCAUCACAUUGUGAUUAAAACUCCGGUGGUUGAGGAUGAGCAUGCGUCUGAUUAGUUAGUUGGAGGUGUAACGGACCCCCAAGACGAUGAUCAGUAGGGGAACUGAGAGGUUGAUCCCCCACACUGGCACUGAGAUACGGGCCAGACUCCUACGGGAGGCAGCAGUAGGGAAUAUUGGUCAAUGGGUGAGAGCCUGAACCAGCCAUGCCGCGUGCAGGAAGACGGCCUUCUGGGUUGUAAACUGCUUUUAUCUGGGGAUAAAAAGCCCAUGCGUGGGACAUUGAAGGUACCAGAUGAAUAAGCACCGGCUAACUACG
rnacentral:rRNA from 1 species